CCAACGUAGCUCAGUGGUAGAGCAGCUCACUCGUAAUGAGCAGGUCGCCGGUUCGAGUCCGGCCGUUGGCU
rnacentral:tRNA from 1 species